UAGCUAGUUGGUGAGGUAAAGGCUUACCAAGGCGACGAUCUGUAGCGGGUCUGAGAGGAUGAUCCGCCACACUGGAACUGAGACACGGUCCAGACUCCUACGGGAGGCAGCAGUGGGGAAUUUUGGACAAUGGGGGCAACCCUGAUCCAGCCAUGCCGCGUGAGUGAAGAAGGCCUUCGGGUUGUAAAGCUCUUUCGGCCGGGAAGAAAUCGCAUGGGCCAAUACCCUGUGUGGAUGACGGUACCGGAAUAAGAAGCACCGGCUAACUACGUGCCAGCAGCCACGGUAAUACGUAGGGUGCGAGCGUUAAUCGGAAUUACUGGGCGUAAAGCGUGCGCAGGCGGUUUUGUAAGACAGGCGUGAAAUCCCCGGGCUUAACCUGGGAACUGCGUUUGUGACUGCAAGGCUAGAGUACGGCAGAGGGGGGUGGAAUUCCACGUGUAGCAGUGAAAUGCGUAGAGAUGUGGAGGAACACCAAUGGCGAAGGCAGCCCCCUGGGUCGAUACUGACGCUCAUGCACGAAAGCGUGGGUAGCAAACAGGAUUAGAUACCCUGGUAGUCCACGCCCUAAACUAUGUCAACUAGGUGUUGGGUGGGUAAAACCAUUUAGUACCGUAGCUAACGCGUGAAGUUGACCGCCUGGGGAGUACGGCCGCAAGGUUAAAACUCAAAGGAAUUGACGGGGACCCGCACAAGCGGUGGAUGAUGUGGAUUAAUUCGAUGCAACGCGAAAAACCUUACCUACCCUUGACAUGCCAGGAACUUGCCAGAGAUGGCUUGGUGCCCGAAAGGGAGCCUGGACACAGGUGCUGCAUGGCUGUCGUCAGCCCGUGUCGUGAGAUGUUGGGUUAAGUCCCGCAACGAGCGCAACCCUUGUCGUUAAUUGCCAUCAUUUGGUUGGGCACUUUAACGAGACCCCGGUGACAAACCGGAGGAAGGUGGGGAUGACGUCAAGUCCUCAUGGCCCUUAUGGGUAGGGCUUCACACGUCAUACAAUGGUCGGUACAAAGGGUUGCCAAGCCGCGAGGCGGAGCCAAUCCCAGAAAGCCGAUCGUAGUCCGGAUUGCAGGCUGCAACUCGCCUGCAUGAAGUCGGAAUCGCUAGUAAUCGUGGAUCAGCAUGUCACGGUGAAUACGUUCCCGGGUCUUGUACACACCGCCCGUCACACCAUGGGAGCGGGUUCCGCCAGAAGUAGGUAGCCUAACCGCAAGGGGGGCGCUUACCACGGCGGGGUUCGUGACUGGGGUGAAGUCGUAACAAGGUAGCCGUAGGGGAACCUGCGGCUG
rnacentral:rRNA from 1 species